rnacentral:rRNA from 1 species
GACGAACGCUGGCGGCGUGCUUAACACAUGCAAGUCGAACGGAAAUGCCCUGCUUUUUUGGGUUAUUCGUGUGGAGCACGGGUGUGAAACACGUGUGUCCCCCCCCCUUCUCUCCGGGAUAACUUCACGAAACUGGGGCUAAUACCGGAUAUUAUCUCCUGCUGCCUGGGGGGGGUUGGAAAGUUUCGGUGGUGGGGUAUGGACUCGCUGCUGAUCCGCUCGUUGGUGGGGUAGUGGCUUACCAUGGCUUGGCUGGGUCGCCGGCCUGAGAGGGUGACCGGCCACAGUGGGACUGAGAUACGGCCCAGACUCCUACGGGAGGCAGCAGUAGGGAAUAUUGCACAAUGGGCGGAAGCCGGAUGCAGCAACGCGGCGUGCGGGAUGACGGCCUUCUGGUUGUAAACCGCUGGCGCCGGUGACGAAGCGUGAUUGACGGUAAUUGGUAAAGAAGCACCGGCUAACUACGUG